rnacentral:rRNA from 1 species
CCUACGGGGGGCAGCAGUGAGGAAUAUUGGUCAAUGGGCGCGAGCCUGAACCAGCCAAGUCGCGUGAGGGAGGACGGCCCUACGGGUUGUAAACCUCUUUUGCCGGGGAGCAACGGGCGCCACGUGUGGCGUCACUGAGAGUACCCGGAGAAAAAGCAUCGGCUAACUCCGUGCCAGCAGCCGCGGUAAUACGGAGGAUGCGAGCGUUAUCCGGAUUUAUUGGGUUUAAAGGGAGCGUAGAUGGGUUGUUAAGUCAGUUGUGAAAGUUUGCGGCUCAACCGUAAAAUUGCAAUUGAUACUGGCAGCCUUGAGUACAGUUGAGGUAGGCGGAAUUCGUGGUGUAGCGGUGAAAUGCUUAGAUAUCACGAAGAACUCCGAUUGCGAAGGCAGCCUACUAAACUGCCACUGACAUUGAUGCUCGAAAGUGUGGGUAUCAAACAGGAUUAGAUACCCGGGUAGUC